GGGAGCCUUACCAUGCAAGUCGAGCGGUAGAGAGAAGCUUGCUUCUCUUGAGAGCGGCGGACGGGUGAGUAAUGCCUAGGAAUCUGCCUGGUAGUGGGGGAUAACGUUCGGAAACGGACGCUAAUACCGCAUACGUCCUACGGGAGAAAGCAGGGGACCUUCGGGCCUUGCGCUAUCAGAUGAGCCUAGGUCGGAUUAGCUAGUUGGUGAGGUAAUGGCUCACCAAGGCGACGAUCCGUAACUGGUCUGAGAGGAUGAUCAGUCACACUGGAACUGAGACACGGUCCAGACUCCUACGGGAGGCAGCAGUGGGGAAUAUUGGACAAUGGGCGAAAGCCUGAUCCAGCCAUGCCGCGUGUGUGAAGAAGGUCUUCGGAUUGUAAAGCACUUUAAGUUGGGAGGAAGGGUUGUAGAUUAAUACUCUGCAAUUUUGACGUUACCGACAGAAUAAGCACCGGCUAACUCUGUGCCAGCAGCCGCGGUAAUACAGAGGGUGCAAGCGUUAAUCGGAAUUACUGGGCGUAAAGCGCGCGUAGGUGGUUUGUUAAGUUGGAUGUGAAAUCCCCGGGCUCAACCUGGGAACUGCAUUCAAAACUGACUGACUAGAGUAUGGUAGAGGGUGGUGGAAUUUCCUGUGUAGCGGUGAAAUGCGUAGAUAUCGGAAGGAACACCAGUGGCGAAGGCGAC
rnacentral:rRNA from 1 species